rnacentral:rRNA from 1 species
GUGUCAGCCGCCGCGGUAAUACGUAGGUGGCAAGCGUUGUCCGGAUUUACUGGGCGUAAAGGGAGCGUAGGCGGACUUUUAAGUGGGAUGUGAAAUACCCGGGCUUAACCUGGGUGCUGCAUUCCAAACUGGGAGUCUAGAGUGCAGGAGGGGAAAGUGGAAUUCCUAGUGUAGCGGUGAAAUGCGUAGAGAUUAGGAAGAACACCAGUGGCGAAGGCGACUUUCUGGACUGUAACUGACGCUGAGGCUCGAAAGCGUGGGGAGCGAACAGGAUUAGAAACCCCGGUAGUCC